UACGGGAGGCAGCAGUGGGGAAUAUUGCACAAUGGGCGAAAGCCUGAUGCAGCUAUGCCGCGUGUAUGAAGAAGGCCUUAGGGUUGUAAAGUACUUUUCAUCGGGGAGGAAAAAAACAAAAACUAAUAAUUUUAAUUUUCUUUGACGUUACCCGAAAAAGAAGCACCGGCUAACUCCGUGCCAGCAGCCGCGGUAAUACGGAGGGUGCUAGCGUUAAUCAGAAUUACUGGGCGUAAAGAGCACGUAGGUGGCUUUUUUAAGUUCAGAUGUGAAAUCCCUGGGCUUAACCUGGAACUGCAUUUUGAAACUGAAAUACUAGAGUAUCGUAGAGGGAGGUAGAAUUCUAGGUGUAGCGGUGAAAUGCGUAGAUAUCUGGAGGAAUACCUGUGGCGAAAGCGGCCUCCUAAACGAAUACUGACACUGAGGUGCGAAAGCGUUGGGGAGCAAACAGGGAUUUAGGAUACC
rnacentral:rRNA from 1 species